UCUACGGGAGGCAGCAGUAGGGAAUCUUCCGCAAUGGACGAAAGUCUGACGGAGCAACGCCGCGUGAACGAUGAAGGCCUUCGGGUCGUAAAGUUCUGUUGUUAGGGAAGAACAAGUGCUAGUUAAAUAAGCUGGCACCUUGACGGUACCUAACCAGAAAGCCACGGCUAACUACGUGCCAGCAGCCGCGGUAAUACGUAGGUGGCAAGCGUUGUCCGGAAUUAUUGGGCGUAAAGCGCGCGCAGGCGGUUUCUUAAGUCUGAUGUGAAAGCCCCCGGCUCAACCGGGGAGGGUCAUUGGAAACUGGGAAACUUGAGUGCAGAAGAGGAAAGUGGAAUUCCAAGUGUAGCGGUGAAAUGCGUAGAGAUUUGGAGGAACACCAGUGGCGAAGGCGACUUUCUGGUCUGUAACUGACGCUGAGGCGCGAAAGCGUGGGGAGCAAACAGGAUUAGAUACCCUGGUAGUCCACGCUGUAAACGAUGAGUGCUAAGUGUUAGAGGGUUUCCGCCCUUUAGUGCUGAAGUUAACGCAUUAAGCACUCCGCCUGGGGAUACGGUCGCAAGACUGAAACUCAAAUGAAUUGACG
rnacentral:rRNA from 1 species